GAUGAACGCUGGCGGCGUGCCUAAUACAUGCAAGUCGAGCGAACAGACGAGGAGCUUGCUCCUCUGACGUUAGCGGCGGACGGGUGAGUAACACGUGGAUAACCUACCUAUAAGACUGGGAUAACUUCGGGAAACCGGAGCUAAUACCGGAUAAUAUAUUGAACCGCAUGGUUCAAUAGUGAAAGACGGUUUUGCUGUCACUUAUAGAUGGAUCCUCGCCGCAUUAGCUAGUUGGUAAGGUAACGGCUUACCAAGGCAACGAUGCGUAGCCGACCUGAGAGGGUGAUCGGCCACACUGGAACUGAGACACGGUCCAGACUCCUACGGGAGGCAGCAGUAGGGAAUCUUCCGCAAUGGGCGAAAGCCUGACGGAGCAACGCCGCGUGAGUGAUGAAGGUCUUCGGAUCGUAAAACUCUGUUAUUAGGGAAGAACAAAUGUGUAAGUAACUAUGCACGUCUUGACGGUACCUAAUCAGAAAGCCACGGCUAACUACGUG
rnacentral:rRNA from 1 species